AACCACUGAGAGGAGGACCCUCCGGCGUCCUAGAGUGGCCGCAGGCCGCGGCGUCGGGUUGGAAAACCAGGAGAGCAUGGAGCUUUUUCGCUGGUCCGGCGCGGUCUCUUGCGUUCCUGUGGCGGGCACCUGACUCCCCAUGCCCGAGUACUGUCCUCAGGCGGAACGGCGUCUGCAGCGAGGAGCGGGGUUCCAGCAGGCUCGGCUGACGCGGUCCCUGGCAUUUCCCGUGCUGGCCCUGGGUCGCCCUCGAUGCUGCUUCCCGCUGGGAGCCUCCUUCUGACGGCGGAAAGGAGCUUCACCUGGGGCGGCCGGCGGGGAACGGAGAAGAAUCCACCGGGGAAGUGGACGGGGCUGGCUCCCGGGCCUGGCGCUGCGGCUCUCGGGCCGUCAGACCUCCCGCGGGUUGCGUCACUUUCCUCGGUUUUCUAGACAGCAGUUGUGGGGUUGAAUCCUUGCCGUGGUUUUGUAAGAAUUAAAUGAGAUAAUGAACGCGAACACCAAUCAUUGCUCUUUGUUGGGUGCUUCCUGUGGGCCUGGCAAUAUUAACAACACGAGCUCAUUCAUGCAUUCAUUUGCUACUCAGUGACUUUCCUGUCAAUACUGCAAGGUGCUGGAGAUGAGCCCCCACUCUUUGGUCAGUAAAACUGCCAAGAUCACCGACCUUGUGAAGACAUUUGAGGAUGAGAGGUUGGUUGGAGCCUGGACGUGGAGACAGACUCUAAAUAGUUAACUACAAGACACAUGUAAUUACAACUUUGAGAGCUUAUAGCGGGAGGCCCUUUUGGGAAGGGGGUGGAGAUGGAGAAGAGGAAGAAAGAAAGGGCUUCCCUGAGGAAGUAAUAUUGCAGCUGUGACCUGACAGAUGAGGCCGAACCAGCUAGACUCGUGUUUCAGGCCUCGGGAAUAGCAUAAGGACUCCAGCUGGCUCCUUCCGGGUUGAGUCCUUAUGCUGAAAUUGGUAUUUGGCACACACCAGUAGUAGAACGCCACUCAAUGCCUUAUUCUCUUCCCCUUCUCUCAGCUCUGUCCCCUCCACAUAGUAGGACAAUGAAACUGGUAACUAUUUUUGGUCCGAAUAGUCCUUCCAUUAUUAUCUGUUAUAGUCCACCAUGCAGGUUCUUCCUAACUCCUUUUGAUCAAAAUAGAUAUUUUUGAAAAUGUGAAGAAAGCAGUAUCGUAUCUUGUAUGGUUUCUCAUUGCCUUCUAAGUCAGAUAUAAACAACGAACUUGCUUGAAAUGUUCUCUAUCAGACCAAGGACCCAUAUUUAAUUCCAACUUACACUCUGCUACACCCUUUCGCUAAAUUCUUUAGUUGAUGUUAACUGCAUUUGGAACCCUGUAUUCAGCGUUGAAUUGCACAUUCUGAAGCAAUUGUGUUCUUACUCAGCACGCUCAUUUCUGUAUCCCAAGUAUCUCCCUGCCUCCAGAACAUGUUUACUCUUUAACCACUUCCUGAUAAUACAGUAGGCUACCAUUACUCUAAAUAGUUGCAGUUAUUGAAUAUAGGCACAUUUUUAAAUUAUAAGAAUCCUAUCCCAAUCCAAGGUACAAUUUGCUGAUCGCAUACUGAUUCAUUUUCCUCCCACUCUGGGUCCUUUCAUCUGCUGUUCUCCCAGUCCAGAUGCCAGCCAGGCAUUUGAGAACCAUCUGAUGGUAACAGGAUGGAGGCUGACUCAACUUCACUCCACCACCUGCCUUCCUGCCUUCAGGGAGAUUUUGUACAUAGCUUAUCCUUUAAGUUCUUCUGCUUGUUACUGCUCACAGCACUGUGAUUCUACUUUAGGCACCUUCUGUACAUUCAUAUUCAUUACUUUUUUUCUCCUCUUUCCUGUUUAUGGUUAGAAAGGUGCUUCACCAAUCUAUUUUAGAACCAAAGAAGAGAUCAAAUUAUAAUAACAUGAGCAUAGUAUUAUGCUAUAGGAUACUAGUAAGAAACUCAGUUCCUCCUCUUUGUUCCCAUAAUAUUUUGUGAAUAUGUCUAUGAUAGUAUUUAAUACAUUGCAUUAUGACUUGUUGUUUGUGUCAUUCUCCACUUAUUAAUUAGACUUCUUUGAGGAUAGAGAUUGAGUUUUUAAAUUUGUUUCUUCAUUUGUUCUUUUACUUAGCUCAAUGCCUGGCAAAAAAACAAAUCAUUGUUAAAUCAGUUUUUAGGUGAAAUAGGGAUAAGUGGGAGGCUAACUUAUCCAGUCUUUGAAAAUGCCUAGCGAUCCCCUUCAGAAUCCUCACACAUCAUCAUCAAUCUUCUUACCCUGUAAAUAAAUAUACUUUUCUCACACAUUAAAGAUAUUUGUAAAAUAAAUUUAUUCAGUUUUUUUUUCUAUUGCAGUGAUAUGUGUGUGUAUAUAUGUAUAUAGUUGUAUUUAAACUAAACAGGAGAAAAGGAGCAAGCCUGUGAAGUAUUAUUUCCGCAUUUACCAGCAAGACAAUUAUCUCAGAAGAUUAAAAUGUGAGAGAUACAACUAGUGUUCAAACCCUGCUCUUUCUGAUGCCACAGUCAAUGUUCUUUCUUUGGUAGAAACCAAACUGUAUUUUUCUUAUUGUUCAAGUAAUGUAAUUAACUAUGGAAAAAUAAGAAAUUACAGAUUAACAAAAUAAAGCAAAAGUAAGUAAAAU
ensembl:lncRNA LINC01023 long intergenic non-protein coding RNA 1023